rnacentral:rRNA from 1 species
AUGGCUCCAAGGACCGUGGAUCCCAAGUGCGUAUCGCCCAUCACUGAAGAUGGGUCGACGGACAGGCGAGGAAACUCAGCAGUCAAAGCAAACACUGGGAAAUGGAGAUCUUCCAUCCUGCUGCUAGUUAACUAUGCGCUUGUAACGUGUGCCUUCUUCGGCGUCGGGGUGAACCUGGUGGUGUUCCUCCGGCGGGUGCUCCACCAGGACAACGCCGAGGCGGCCAACAGCAUCAGCAAAUGGACCGGCACCGUCUACAUCUUCUCCCUCAUCGGCGCCUUCAUGAGCGACUCCUACUGGGGCCGCUACAUCACCUGCGCCAUCUUCCAGAUGAUCUAUGUCACGGGACUUGUGAUACUGUCACUGGCGUCGUGGUUCCUGCUGGUGAAGCCCACUGGGUGCGGCGACGUGGAGACGCACUGCGACCCGCCGUCGACGGCGGGGGUCGCGCUCUUCUACCUGUCGACGUACAUGAUCGCGUUCGGCAACGGCGGGUACCAGCCGUCCAUCGCCACGCUGGGCUCGGACCAGUUCGACGAGACGGACCCCGACGAGGCGCGCUCCAAGGUGGCCUUCUUCAGCUACUUCUACCUGGCGCUCAACGUGGGCUCCAUCUUCUCCAACACGGUGCUGGUGUACUACGAGGACGCCGGGCAGUGGGUCAUGGGCUUCUGGGUCUCGGCGGGCGCGGCGGCGCUGGCGCUCGUGCUCUUCCUCCUCGGCACCCCCAACUACCGCUACUUCAAGCCCACCGGCAACCCGCUCACCCGCAUCGCGCAGGUGCUCGUCGCCGCGUGCCGCAAGUGGCGCGACCACGCGUCCACCCGCGGCGAGCUGCUCCACGAGCUGGACGGCGACGAGUCUUACAAGGAAUCCGGCAUCCGGAAGAUCAUGCACAGUGACCAGCUCAGGUACCUUGACAAGGCCGCGACGGUCACCGAGGAGGACUACUGCGAGCCGGAGAGGAUAAAGGACCCGUGGAGGCUCUGCACCGUGACGCAGGUGGAGGAGGUGAAGUGCAUCCUCAAGAUGCUGCCCAUCUGGAUGUGCACCAUCGUCUACUCGGUGGUUUUCACGCAGAUGGCGUCGCUGUUCGUGGAGCAAGGGACCACCAUGAACACUAACAUCGGGUCGUUCCACGUGCCGGCCGCGAGCAUGUCGGUGUUCGACAUCCUCAGCGUGCUGGCGUUCAUCGCCAUCUACCGGCGCGUGCUGGUGCCGGUCAUGGCGAGGCUGUCCGGGAACCCGCAGGGGCUGACCGAGCUGCAGCGCAUGGGCGUCGGGCUCGUGAUCGGCAUGGGGGCGAUGGUGGUGGCAGGCGUCGUGGAGGUGGAGCGGCUGAAGCGGGUGGCCGCGCCGGACCAGCCGAGCUCCCUGAGUGUCCUGUGGCAGGUGCCGCAGUACGCGCUGAUCGGGGCUUCGGAGGUGUUCAUGUACGUUGGGCAGCUGGAGUUCUUCAACGGGCAGGCGCCCGACGGCGUCAAGAGCUUCGGCAGCUCGUUGUGCAUGGCGUCCAUCUCGCUCGGGAACUACGUGAGCAUCAUGCUGGUCAGCGUGGUGACCAGCCUCACCGCCGGCGACAAGAGGCCUGGGUGGAUCCCGGGUAACCUCAACUCCGGCCACCUCGACAGGUUCUACUUCCUCCUCGCAGCGCUCUCGCUCGUCGACCUCGCCGUGUACGUGGCCUGCGCGAUGUGGUACAAGGGCAUCAAGCUCGACAGCAACGAGGAGAAGGGAAAGGUGCCGGUGCAUGUUUAG